rfam:Loxodonta africana unplaced genomic scaffold scaffold_7, whole genome shotgun sequence.
GCAAUGGUGGUUCAGUAGUAGAAUUCUUGCCUGCCAUGCAGGACACCUGGGUUUGAUUCCUGGCCAAUGUA